GAUGAACGCUGGCGGCGUGCUUAACACAUGCAAGUCGAGCGAAGCACUUAAGUGGAUUCUUUCGGGAUGAAGCUUAUUUGACUGAGCGGCGGACGGGUGAGUAACGCGUGGGUAACCUGCCUCAUACAGGGGAAUAACAGUUAGAAAUGACUGCUAAUGCCGCAUAAGCGCACACUACCGCAUGGUAGAGUGUGAAAAACUCCGGUGGUAUGAGAUGGACCCGCGUCUGAUUAGCUAGUUGGUGAGGUAACGGCCCACCAAGGCAACGAUCAGUAGCCGACCUGAGAGGGUGACCGGCCACAUUGGGACUGAGACACGGGCCCAAACUCCUACGGGAGGCAGCAGUGGGGAAUAUUGCACAAUGGGGGAAACCCUGAUGCAGCGACGCCGCGUGGGUGAAGGAAGUA
rnacentral:rRNA from 1 species